CCUACGGGUGGCAGCAGUGGGGAAUAUUGCACAAUGGGGGAAACCCUGAUGCAGCAACGCCGCGUGGAGGAUGAAGGUCUUCGGAUUGUAAACUCCUUUUAUCAGAGAAGAUAAUGACAGUAUCUGACCAAUAAGCACCGGCUAACUACGUGCCAGCAGCCGCGGUAAUACGGAGGGGGCAAGCGUUACGCGGAAUUACUGGGCGUAAAGGGAGCGCAGGCGGGGUAGCAAGUCAGAUGUGAAAACCUGUGGCCUAACCCCAGGACUGCAUUUGAAACUGCUAUGCUGGAGUGUCGGAGAGGUAAGCGGAAUUCCUAGUGUAGGGGUAAAAUCCGUAGAGAUUAAGAGGAAUACCAGUUGCGAAGGCGACCUGCUAGAACGUAACUGACGCUGAUGCGCGAAAGCGUGGGGAGCAAACAGGAUUAGAUACCCGAGUAGUC
rnacentral:rRNA from 1 species